rnacentral:misc_RNA from 1 species
ACUGAAUGAUCUCCAAGCAUGCACAGAGAGCGCGCGUCUGUUCCUAGACUAGAUCCCUCAUUUCUUUUGUUUUCAUUUCUUACGUGCAUACAUGUCACCGAUCAUACCUGUUCUCUUCUCUCCUGCUGCUUUUUCGUAUUAUCGUCUCGCUGCCACCGCCCCUCGAUGACGGGGGGGGGAACCCCUCACAGUGCGUGGUAUCACAGGGUCCGGUACACCCCUGCGCGGUGGGCAAGCCGAGCGGCCACCCUCUAUCCCUGGCAAUGCCCAACCAGUUUAUGGUGGUGUCAGAGUCGGGCGCCUACGACGCGGGCAUGCCAGAGCAAUGCAUCGCUGCUGGUGUCGGCGGUGAGGUCCUGGACGGCGUGGCGUCGGAGCGACCUGCGUCAGUACGCACAGCUUGUGCGAUCCCUAUGAGGACGCAGGGUGUCGGCGCGACUGGGAACGCAUCCCGCCCCCCGCCCCUCACGCUGCCCACUGGUGUGGUGGGGGGAGCCCGAGCCACCUCGCGAGGGAUGCACCAGAGGUGGGGACCUGCAUGAUGGGGCGGGUAGAGUUUGAGGCGACGAGCAGAGCGGGGGGCGGGUGGAGGUUGUGGCGGCGGAUGGCCGUGCUCUCGCAUGGCUGAGCUGGCCCAUUGCUGCGACGCGCGUGUCCACCGGGUGCUUCCCACCACGCGAUGAGGAGAGGCGGGGGGGGGAGCCUGCGACAAGCCGGUGGGGUGGGUGGUAGAGUGAGGUUUGACUCAUGUUGUAUAUCAGAGAUGGUGGACAUGUUGACCAGAAGCGUCCCCCUCCCUGCCAUUGCCCGCGAGACGGGGGGAUUUGAAGCUCUUAAGGCGAGCGGCUGAAAAAAAAAGGUGCAGUUCGCUUUAUAUGGGUCGCAGUAUAGGCAGAGGGCAGCUCAUCAUUGGCAACUGAAGGCAACUUGUUUGAGGUGUGACAGCGAUGAUGUAAUUGAUGUGUGCGCGCGUACUAUGCAGCAGAGCUGACCGUUGUGCACCAAGGCGCGUACACCCCAAGAGACCAGUACAUUCCCCUUUUCCCUUUGCUCGACCUCCGUGCUUCCUGUUGAUCCCCGCCGCAGACUCGCACCUGUCUCUUUGCGUACUCGCGACGGCUCUCCGAUGCCCGCCCCCUCCCCCCUGCUGCUGUCUGCGCGACCUCCCCUUCUUCAUCCUAUGCACUGCCUCUCUCCUCUUUCUUCUCCUCCUCACACCCUGCGUGUUCGCCUCCACACGCGCACGCACGCCUGGACACCGACUCUUGCUUGGCCCACUGUUUUAUGUGCUUUUUUCACCUUGCCGUUGCCAG